GCAGGUCAAAGAAGGAGGAAGACAUCAUCACAAUUGAACAAAAUUUAAACUCUCUUACUGUUCAUGAGACUAAACUCAAGGUUGACCUAACAGAGUAUGUUGAGAAGCAUGAGUUUGUGUUUGAUGCUGUGCUCGAUGAGGAUGUUUCAAAUGAUGAAGUAUAUCGUGAAACUGUGGAGCCAAUUGUCCCUGCUAUCUUUCAGCGUACAAAGGCAACAUGUUUUGCUUAUGGACAAACAGGCAA